GACGAACGCUGGCGGCGUGCUUAACACAUGCAAGUCGAACGGAAAGGCCCUGCUUUUGUGGGGUGCUCGAGUGGCGAACGGGUGAGUAACACGCGAGUAACCUGCCCUUGACUUUGGGAUAACUUCAGGAAACUGGGGCUAAUACCGGAUAGGAGCUCCUGCUGCAUGGUGGGGGUUGGAAAGUUUCGGCGGUUGGGGAUGGACUCGCGGCUUAUCAGCUUGUUGGUGGGGUAGUGGCUUACCAAGGCUUUGACGGGUAGCCGGCCUGAGAGGGUGACCGGCCACAUUGGGACUGAGAUACGGCCCAGACUCCUACGGGAGGCAGCAGUGGGGAAUAUUGCACAAUGGGCGGAAGCCUGAUGCAGCAACGCCGCGUGCGGGAUGACGGCCUUCGGGUUGUAAACCGCUUUCGCCUGUGACGAAGCGUGAGUGACGGUAAUGGGUAAAGAAGCACCGGCUAACUACGUGCCAGCAGCCGCGGUGAUACGUAGGGUGCGAGCGUUGUCCGGAUUUAUUGGGCGUAAAGGGCUCGUAGGUGGUUGAUCGCGUCGGAAGUGUAAUCUUGGGGCUUAACCCUGAGCGUGCUUUCGAUACGGGUUGACUUGAGGAAGGUAGGGGAGAAUGGAAUUCCUGGUGGAGCGGUGGAAUGCGCAGAUAUCAGGAGGAACACCAGUGGCGAAGGCGGUUCUCUGGGCCUUUCCUGACGCUGAGGAGCGAAAGCGUGGGGAGCGAACAGGCUUAGAUACCCUGGUAGUCCACGCUGUAAACGGUGGGUACUAGGUGUGGGGUCCAUUCCACGGGUUCCGUGCCGUAGCUAACGCUUUAAGUACCCCGCCUGGGGAGUACGGCCGCAAGGCUAAAACUCAAAGGAAUUGACGGGGCCCCGCACAAGCGGCGGAGCAUGCGGAUUAAUUCGAUGCAACGCGUAGAACCUUACCUGGGUUUGACAUGGAUCGGGAGUGCUCAGAGAUGGGUGUGCCUCUUUUGGGGUCGGUUCACAGGUGGUGCAUGGCUGUCGUCAGCUCGUGUCGUGAGAUGUUGGGUUAAGUCCCGCAACGAGCGCAACCCUUGUUCACUGUUGCCAGCACGUUAUGGUGGGGACUCAGUGGAGACCGCCGGGGUCAACUCGGAGGAAGGUGGGGAUGACGUCAAGUCAUCAUGCCCCUUAUGUCCAGGGCUUCACGCAUGCUACAAUGGCUGGUACAGAGAGUGGCGAGCCUGUGAGGGUGAGCGAAUCUCGGAAAGUCGGUCUCAGUUCGGAUUGGGGUCUGCAACUCGACCUCAUGAAGUCGGAGUCGCUAGUAAUCGCAGAUCAGCAACGCUGCGGUGAAUACGUUCCCGGGGCU
rnacentral:rRNA from 1 species